rnacentral:rRNA from 1 species
GAUUAACGCUGGCGGCGUGCCUAACACAUGCAAGUCGAACGAAGUAAAAUAAGAUUUCGGUUUUAUUUUGCUUAGUGGCGGACGGGUGAGGAAUAUGUGAGUAACCUGCCCCUAAGUUUGGGAUAACAUUUCGAAAGGAAUGCUAAUACCGGAUAUUAUCUUUUGGUCGCAUGAUCGAAAGAUGAAAGUUUUUUCGCUUAGGGAGGGGCUCAUAUCUGAUUAGCUAGUUGGUAGGGUAAUGGCCUACCAAGGCGACGAUCAGUAGCUGGUCUGAGAGGAUGAACAGCCACACUGGAACUGAGACACGGUCCAGACUCCUACGGGAGGCAGCGAGUGGGGAAUAUUGCGCGAAUGGGCGAAAGCCUGACGCAGCGACGCCGCGUGAGUGAAGAAGUUUUUCGGAAUGUAAAGCUCUGUCAAGAGGGAAAAUUGUGAUGGUACCUCUAAAGGAAGCCCCGGCUAAUUACGUGCCAGCAGCCGCGGUAAUACGUAAGGGGCGAGCGUUAUCCGGAUUUAUUGGGCAUAAAGGGCGCGUAGGUGGCAUUUUAAGUCAGAUGUGAAAGGCCUUGGCUUACCCAAGGUUUGCAUUUGAAACUGAUUUGCUAGAGGUCAGUAGAGGAAAGCGGAACUCACAGUGUAGCGGUGAAAUGCGUAGAUAUUGUGAGGAACACCAGUUGCGAAGGCGGCUUUCUGGCCUGAUCCUGACACUGAGGCGCGAAAGCGUGGGGAGCGAACAGGAUUAGAUACCCUGGUAGUCCACGCCGUAAACGGUGCACACUAAGUGUUGGAGGUAUCGACCCCUUCAGUGCUAAAGAUAAUUCGUUAAGUGUGCCGCCUGGGAAGUACGACCGCAAGGUUAAAACUCAAAGAAAUUGACGGGGGCCCGCACAAGCGGUGGAGCAUGUGGUUUAAUUCGACGAUACGCGAAAAACCUUACCAGGGCUUGACAUCCUCGAAAGUUCCUAGAGAUAGGAAUGUGCCUUCGGGAGCCGAGAGACAGGUGGUGCAUGGCUGUCGUCAGCUCGUGUCGUGAGAUGUUGGGUUAAGUCCCGCAACGAGCGCAACCCCUAUCUUGUGUUGCCAGCAUUUCGGAUGGGAACUCACAAGAGACUGCCUGUGGAAAGCAGGAGGAAGGUGGGGAUGACGUCAAGUCAUCAUGCCCCUUACGCCCUGGGCUACACACAUGCUACAAUGGCCGGUACAAAGGGUCGCGAAGCCGCGAGGUGAAGCCAAUCUCAAAAAACCGGUCUCAGUUCAGAUUGUAGUCUGCAACUCGACUACAUGAAGUUGGAAUCGCUAGUAAACGCAAAUCAGCACGUUGCGUUGAAUACGUUCCCGGGCCUUGUACACACCGCCCGUCACACCAUGAGAGUUAGAAACGCCCAAAGCCGAUGUGCCAACCGUAAGGAGGUAGUCGUCUAAGGUGGAGCUAGCGAUUGGGGUG